rnacentral:lncRNA from 1 species
CGCCGCUGGCUCCGCCCACCGCGUGGUCCAAGGACCACCACCCGCCACCGCCGCGCGAGCGUACUAUUGCGGCCGCCCUCUGCUGCGCCUGAAGAGAGAGGCGACUCUACAAGCCUCACAGCAUGCACUGUUACUAAAAAGACGAUGCGUCCUCCUGGACCUGAGAUCUGUGUGAUCGUGGGAAAGCGACGAAAAACACAACCCACCUGAGGCACCAGACACAUGAGUGAAGCCAUCUUGGACAUCCCAGUCACAGCCAAACUCACUCCUGAGUGCAUCUGCAUGAUGAACCCAGCAAUCCCCACCAUGGAGCAAAGGAUCCAUCCAGUCAACCCAAAGAAUCGUGAAAAAUAAUAAAUUGUUGUUUUAAAGUUCUUCAGUUUGGGAAUAGCUUGUUAUGCAACAAUACAUAAUUAAUACACUGGUCUCCCACUUUCAAGUUUGAUUAACUUUCAGCUAUUUUUCACAUAGCAGGCAGAGUGAUUCCAUUAAAACAUAUAUCAGAUAAUGUCACUGCACUAAGUAAACUCUACAAGGACUCUCAUCUCCCUCAGAGUAAAGGUCACAGUUGUUACAAGGCCCUACGUAAUGUGGCCCUCACCACCACUCCAUUACCUUUUUCUUAUCUACUAUUUGCUAACUUUGCUUUGUCCUCUUUUCUGUUCUGAAACAGGCUAGGCAUGGUCCUGCCUCAAGGCCUUUGCACCACCUACUCUGUCUGCUUGGAUUGUUCUUCCCACAGAUUUCUUGCUCCCUUCUUCCUUCAUGAAGAAAUGUCAUGAAAUGUCCUUCCUUCAUGAAAUGUCACCUUCUCAUUUGAGGCCUUCUGUAGUACCCCAAAGAAUGGUCCCCAAAGAUGUCCACAUCCUUAUGCCCAGAACCUGUGAAUGUGUUAUCUUAAUGGCAAAAGUGACUUUGCAAAUGUGAUUAUAUUUAAGGAUCUUAAGGAGGAGAUUAUCCUGGAUUAUCCAGGAGGGCCCAAUGUAAUCACAAGGGCCCUUAUAAGUGAAAGGGGGAGGCAACAGAGAGAAGGAGAUGUCAUAAUGAAAACAGAUCCAAGUGAUGAGAUUGCUGGCUGGGGUGGAGGUGGAGGGGGGUACAAUCCAAGGAAUGCAAGAAGCCUCUAAAAGCUAGGAAAUGUCAGGACACAAAUUCUCCCCUAGAACCUGAGGAAGAAACCCAGGUUUAUGGACACUGAUUUUAACCCAAUAAGUCCCUUUUCUGACUGCUGACCUCCAAAACUGUAAGAUAAUAAAUUUGUGUUAUUUUAAGCCAACUGAGUUUGAGAUAAUUUAGUUAUGGCAGCAAUAGGAAACUAGCACACCUUCCUAGCCAUCCUAUCUAAAAUGGCAACCCAUGUCCUUCCUGGCACUUCCUAUCUCCCUUCCAUGUUUUUUUUAAAUCAUAUAUACAAUAUAUUUUACUGUUUUACCUAUUGUCUUUUCCACCAGAAAGUAAACUCCACGUAAAUAAGGAUUGUCUGUUUUAUUCUUUGCAGUAUCUCCACUGCCUAGGAUAGCAUCUGCACAUACUGCACACUCAGUACACAUUUGUCGAAUGAGGUCAGGCGCGGUGGUUCACACCUGUAAUCCCAGCACUUUGGGAGGCCAAGGCGGGUGGAUCACCUUAGGUUAGGAGUUCGAGACCAGCCUGGCCAACAUGGUGAAACCAUGUCUCUACUAAAAAUACAAAAAGUAGUUGGGCAUGGUGGCAUGUGCCUGUAAUCCCAGCUACUUGGGAGGCUGUGGCAGGAGAGUCACUUGAAUCUGGGAGGUGGAGGUUGCAGUGAGCCAAGAUUGUGCCACUCCACUCCAGCCUGGGCAACAGAGUAAGACUCUGGCUCAAAAAAAAAAAAAAAGAAAGAAAGAAAAAAAUACAUAUUUGUUGAAUGAACAAGUGAAUGAACAAAUGUUAUGCAAAUAUAUUAUCCCUAUCUGUAGCUUGCCUUUUAAUUUUGUUAUAGUAACUUUGGUUGAAAGGAAGUUCUAAAAUCUUUAAUAUAAUCAAAUGUAUCAAUCUUUUCAACUUGUAUAUUUUAUGCCUUGUUUAAUCAACUCUGUCUUAUAUCAAAAUUAUAAAAGUAUUACCCUGUAUUUUCUUAUAAAAGUUUUGAAUCUUUUCUUUUUCCACUUAGAUCAUUAAUCAACUUGGAAUUGGUGUUACAUAGUGGUAAAUGAUUGUCCCAGGACCACAUAUUGAAUAUUUUAUCAUUUCUCCACUGAUUUGUAACAACACAGUGGUUAUAUAUCCUGUUUAUACAUGGGUCUGUCUCUAGGUUUCCGGUUCUGUUCCAGUGGUCUGUUUGCUUACCCUUCUACUAAUAGCACAUUGGCCUAAUUACUAUAACUUUAUAAUGUGGCUCAAUCUCUGGAAAACCACAUACCUCUCCCCUCCUCUUUCUACAAUAUUCUUAUAUUUUGCAACUGGCCUUUACUGUUUUGUAUUAUUUUUAACAAUACCUUAUAUACCCACAUAUAUUAGAUGCUCUUAGCAUCACUAUUUAUAGCAUCUAAAAAUUGGAAAUUAUUUAAAUGUCCACCAAUACAUUAGUUAAAUAAAUUAGGUUAUACUCACAUAGUGGAAUACGAUACUGGCUUUCAAAAGAAUGAGGUAAAUUUACAUAUCUACAUUAAAAGGUAUUCAAGAUAUCAGAAAAAAGGGCAAGUUGCAAAACAAUAUUUAGAGUAAGAACCUAUUCAUGAAUUUUUUUAAUGUAAUUUGUGUUACAUGUAGAAAAAAAUAUGGGCAAGAAUACAUCAAAAUGUUAACAGUGGUUAUAUCUGAGGAUCAGGAAUAGGAAGAACAUUCGCUUUCUAAGGUAUGUAUUCCUAUAAUUCAUGGAUAUGACAAUAACCAAGUAUUACUUUUACAAUAGAAUAUAUAGGUUUUAACUUUGGUUAAAGCAAAUAUAUCUUUUUUUUUUUUUUUUUUGAGAUGGAGUCUCGCUCUGUUGCCCAGGCUGGAGUGCAGUGGUGUGAUCUCAGCUCACUGCAAGCUCUGCCUCCCAGGUUCAGGCCAUUCUCCUGCCUCAGCCUCCCGUGUAGCUGGGACUACAGGCGCCCACCACCACGCCCGGCUAAUUUUUUGUAUUUUUUAGUAGAGACAGGGUUUCACCGUGUUAGCCAGGAUGGUCUCGAUCUCCUGACCUUGUGAUCUGCCCGCCUCGGCCUCCCAAAGUGCUGGGAUUACAGGUGUGAGUCACUGCCCCCGGCUGCAAAUAUAUCUUAAUGUUAAAUGUGUAUUUUUCUGAUGAUAAAAUUAUGAGAAAUGUUAUUUUCAUUUUUGUUUUCC